AAUUGUGUUUAGCUUCCUUGCUUCCUUACUUCUUGACAGACAUACUCCAGUAAAAUGAUUUAGCCUACCACAUGAUCUACAGGUUUUCCCAUAUGCAGGACACUGUUCUUUCUCUCUUACAUGUAUACUGCCACAGUACUUACAUGAUGUAGACUUGCUCACAGGUGAGGUGCUUUAGCGAUUAUUGUGUUGAUGCUUGUGCUGGUGGUUCUUCAAGCUUAGCUGUUGCUUGAAGGCUGCAUGGAUGCUGUCAGUCUGUUU